GAUGAACGCUGGCGGCGUGCCUAAUACAUGCAAGUCGAACGCUGAAGGAGGAGCUUGCUCUUCUGGAUGAGUUGCGAACGGGUGAGUAACGCGUAGGUAACCUGCCUGGUAGCGGGGGAUAACUAUUGGAAACGAUAGCUAAUACCGCAUGACAACAGUUAUUGCAUGAUAACUGUUUAAAAGGGGCAACUGCUCCACUACCAGAUGGACCUGCGUUGUAUUAGCUAGUUGGUGAGGUAACGGCUCACCAAGGCGACGAUACAUAGCCGACCUGAGAGGGUGAUCGGCCACACUGGGACUGAGACACGGCCCAGACUCCUACGGGAGGCAGCAGUAGGGAAUCUUCGGCAAUGGACGGAAGUCUGACCGAGCAACGCCGCGUGAGUGAAGAAGGUUUUCGGAUCGUAAAGCUCUGUUGUAAGAGAAGAACGAGUGUGAGAGUGGAAAGUUCACACUGUGACGGUAUCUUACCAGAAAGAGACGGCUAACUACGUG
rnacentral:rRNA from 1 species